AGUAACCUUAACCCUCGGCCCUUGGUGGGAACUUCGGCUCUGUGGGAAUUAGUCUUUGGGGGACUGAUGGUCAUGCUGAAAUCUUAUUGCGUAGGAAAUUAAGUACAACAAAGAAGACCCGUCGUGAGAGGAGAGUGCGGAAGAAAUGCGAAGUCUACGGGAGGUGGCAGCUGCAGAAGCUUGGUGUUGGAUUUGGCGUUAGGAGACCGGGAGGAGCCCAGCUUCCGGUCCAGACGGUUAUCUUGUUGACUUGCACGACUGCAAACGCCCUGAGCUGCUUUUGCAGUCUGAAACAUCAGCGAUCCCAUCAAAAUAUUCUGUUUCUUGGGAUAUAAGAAACAUCCCAAGGCGGGCUGUAGAGCGAGAGAUUUGGACUCGAUUUAAAUACAGACAAAAUAGUAUGCAUUUACUAACACCACAUCUCACCCCCACGAAACUUGGUAAGGGCAGCAACAGAACUUUAUCUGCCAUAUGCACUCCUGUAUUCCUAUUACCAAAUAGUGCCAGGGACUAAGUGAAUAUUUGUCCAAUGAAUGAGUUUUAAGUAGGAAACGUUUGCAUAGAAUCAUUUUGUUUCUUUUGGAGUUCAAAUCUUCGGAUAUUUUACCCUUCCCAAUCCAAAGAAAAGUCUCUGAGUGAAGAGAUGGGAACAAAAUAUCAUCUUUGUAACAAGAAGAAAACCAACCAAAUGAAAAUGAAAUGAAUUCUCUCAAAAAGAAUUAAGUCAAGACAGGAAGAAGGCUCGCAAAGUAAUAUAAAAUAUAUCUUAUGGUUUAUGGAAAAUUCUUAAUAAAAUACCUUCUUUGCUCCAAGCUGCACUCUGGCUUUGCCUUUGAGUCAGGUGGCAUGUCUUUGCACGAUGACUGGUUCUAUUGAGUAGGCACUGCUUCAGCCCUACAGGAAGAACAAAACCUCUCUGGAACACAGCAGCAUUCCUGAUUCCCACUUGAGGAGGCCUAACAAAACGGCAUAUGCCUCAACAGCAGCAGAUCAGUGUUAAAAAGUCUGGAGUCAAGGGGAAAAAGUAAAAUUGGACCAUUUCCAAAAUCUCACAAAAAGCAACAAACUGACGUUCUAAGUGCCCAACAUGAGCAAAUUAGAACCUUAAAUAAAGGUCACUCUUAAUGCCUAUCCCAGCAUAGAUGCAGCACCAAGUACAGUGUCAUUUUACUGGUUUACCUUUUUCAUUCUUGAAAGUAGGAGCUAUGAAAAAAAACACUAAAAUUUCUCUAAGAGAACCUUCUACUUUCUGUCUAACUUACAUAAUCAAAACACUGUAUUGAGGGUGAAAAUUGAAUAUUAUAAGAAAAUAAUCACGUGUUUUGCGAGAAGUUGCAAAUAUAAUGCUCCUCCACCCAAUACCUACCUUAAAAAGAAAAAAGGAAACAUACAA
rnacentral:lncRNA from 1 species